rnacentral:rRNA from 1 species
AACGAACGCUGGCGGCAUGCCUAACACAUGCAAGUCGAACGAGACCUUCGGGUCUAGUGGCGAACGGGUGCGUAACGCGUGGGAACCUGCCCUUAGGUUCGGAAUAACUCCCCGAAAGGGGUGCUAAUACCGGAUAAUGUCUUCGGACCAAAGAUUUAUCGCCUUUGGAUGGGCCCGCGUUGGAUUAGCUAGUUGGUAGGGUAAAAGCCUACCAAGGCGACGAUCCAUAGCUGGUCUGAGAGAAUGAUCAGCCACACUGGGACUGAGACACGGCCCAGACUCCUACGGGAGGCAGCAGUGGGGAAUAUUGGACAAUGGGCGAAAGCCUGAUCCAGCAAUGCCGCGUGAGUGAUGAAGGCCUUAGGGUUGUAAAGCUCUUUUACCCGGGAUGAUAAUGACAGUACCGGGAGAAUAAGCUCCGGCUAACUCCGUG